UAAGACGAUCACAUCUGACGUCAAAAGCUGUAAGCAGGACGGGGUCUGGUUAGUACUUGGAUGGGAGACCACUGGGAAAAUCAGGUGCCAUUGUGA
rnacentral:rRNA from 1 species